UAGUGUUAUAGCUCUUUUAUUAAUUUGUCUAGCAGGUUUUCCAGUCUCCACUGGAAGAUUACA
rnacentral:snRNA from 1 species